ensembl:lncRNA
GCCAGGUGGGCGUCAUUAUCUACAUGAAAAGACUGAGGCUUAGAGACCUUAAGCAGCUUGCCCAAGGUCACACCGAAAAGCUAAGGCUUGAACAUUAGUCUACUUGACUCAGCCUGUCUGCACCCCGAUAUCCCACAUCUGAAGAUGGACAAGGAGGAUCUAAACGCUAACCCACUAAGCUGUUUCCUUAAACGUCUGAACAAACUCACACAGCAGGGCUAUCAAGGAGAAGUUACCCACCUGACGUUGUAGGCAUUUGCACUUCUCUGACCCUGUGAGGUGCUUUCCCCAGAUGUGCUCAGUGUGUGGCAGGAGCAGAAGCCGGAAGACAGAGAAGCAGCUUGGAUGUAUAAGAUGUACUUACUAAGCAGUUAAGUGCUCUGAAACUUGGAAUGAAGAGGACAGUUGCUUAUUUACACCAACCUCGAUCGCUUCCACUUCUUUAUCUUUUUUUUUUGGUUGUACAAUAUUAGAAUAUCAGGAAAAGCCUGAUUACAGAGUUAGUAGUUGGAGUAACUAAUAGGAUUUUUGGUGUGUGUGUGUGUUUAAGCUAACCUUGCAACCUCAGGAUACUGAAAGGAAUAUAAGAGUUUGUUUUUGUUGUUUCAAAAAUGAAUUAUUAACAAUAUAUGAGAUGAACUAUGUGUAAUCUCCACAACCCCACAGUUUUGGCCUACAAAAACAGCGAAUUCAUCUAAUUCAGUCAAAUAAGAAUAGCUAACGUUCACUUACUGUGUUUACAUGCUAAACACUGUGCGAGCAUGGUGUCAUUUAGUCUACACACAAGUCCCCCUGGUACAGAUGAGGACCCAGAAACAAGGGUGUCGUCCAAGGUUGCCCAGGUGACCAGAGCGCCCACGCCCGCCCCCCACCCAGCCCUCGGGAGCAGCAGUCCUGGCCCAGCCUUGCCCCAGGGUUGCUGGGACCCCAGGUCAGCCUGCCUCCGCCCGCCCGCGGGGAGGGGAAGAAUCCAGCCUCUGUGCCCAGCGGCGCCCGCCGGCCCAGGAGCUGUUUGUUUUCUUAACGGGGUUAACCAAACCUCCG